rnacentral:lncRNA from 1 species
CGCAAAGCGCUCCAAAUGUCCACUUGCAGAUUCCAAAAAGUGUGUUUCCAAACUGCUCAAUCAAAAGAAAGGUUCAACUCUGUAACAUGAAGGCACACAUCUCAAAGAAGUUUCUCAGAAUUCUUCUGUCUAGUUUUUAUGUGAAGAUAUUACAUUUUCCACCAUUGCCUCAAAGCGCCAAAAAUGUCCACUUGCAGAUACUACAGAAAGAGUGUUUCAAAGUGGCUCAAUCAAAAGAAAGUUUCAACUCUAUGAGAUGAAUGCACACAUCACAUAGAAGUUUCUCAGAAUGCUUCUGUCUAGUUAUUAUGUGAAGAUAUUUCGUUUUCCACCAUAGGCAUCAAAGCGCGCCAAAUGUCCACUUGCAGAUUCUACAAAAGGAGUGUUUCGAAACCGUUCAAUCGAAAUUAAGGUUCCACUCUGCGAGAUGAAUGCACACAUCACAAAAACUUUGUCAGAAUGCUUCUGUCUAGUUUUGUGUGAAGAUAUUUCCCUUUCCACCACAGGCCUCAAAGCUCUCCAAAUGUCCACUUGCAGAUUCUACAAAAAGAGUGUUUCAAAACUGCUCUAUCGAAAGUUAAGUUCAACUCCGUGAGAUAAAUGGCAACUCCAUGAGAUAAAUGACAAAUAAGCUUGUCAGAAUGCUUCUGCCUAGUUUUAAUGUGAAGAUAUUUCCUUUUCCACCAUAGGCCGCAAAGCGCUCCAAAUGUCCACUUGCAGAUUCUACAAAAUGAGAGUUUUCAAAACUACUCAAUUAAAAUAAAGUUUCAGCUCUGUGAGAGGAAUGUACACGUCACAAAUCAGCUUCACAGAAUGCUUCCAUCUAGUUCUUAAAUGAAGAUAUUUCCUUUUCCACCAUACGCCAAAAAGUGCUCCAAAUG